UGUACCACUGCGACCAUCGCGGCCUGCCGCUGGCCCUUAUCAGCACGGAAGGGACAACAGCGUGGUACGCAGAAUACGAUGAAUGGGGUAACCUGCUGAAUGAAGAGAACCCGCAUCAGCUGCAGCAGCUUAUCCGCCUGCCGGGGCAGCAGUAUGAUGAGGAGUCCGGCCUGUAUUACAACCGCCACCGCUAUUAUGACCCGCUGCAGGGGCGAUAUAUCACUCAGGAUCCGAUUGGGCUGAAAGGGGGAUGGAAUUUUUAUCAGUAUCCGUUGAAUCCGAUCUCAAAUAUAGAACCAUUAGGAUUAGAAACACUAAAAUGCAUUAAGCCACUGCAUUCAAUGGGCGGAACUGGUGAAAGAAGCGGUCCAGAUAUAUGGGGGAAUCCGUUCUAUCAUCAAUAUCUUUGUGUCCCAGAUGGUAAAGGGGACUAUACUUGUGGUGGCCAAGACCAACGGGGAGAAUCAAAAGGAGAUGGUCUAUGGGGGCCAGGUAAAGCAAGUAAUGAUACAAAAGAAGCUGCUGGCCGUUGUGACCUCGUUGAAACCGAUAAUAGUUGUGUGGAGAACUGUUUAAAAGGGAAGUUUAAAGAGGUAAGGCCGCGUUAUUCUGUAUUGCCUGAUAUAUUCACACCUAUAAAUUUAGGGCUAUUUAAAAACUGCCAAGACUGGUCUAAUGAUUCUUUAGAAACAUGUAAGAUGAAGUGCUCCGGAAAUAACAUUGGACGUUUUAUUAGAUUUGUAUUCACCGGAGUGAUGUAAUGAAAUAUAUUAUUUUUUUAUUCAGAGCUAUAUGGCUGGCUUUAUCGCUUUUAAUACUAUUCUUUUCCAUGCAUAGACUUUCACUAUUAGACUCCACUCGUGAUGUGAGCGAGUUAAUUAGUCUCAUGUCUUAUGGAAUGAUGGUAAUAUGUUUUCCAACAGGCAUAGUAUUCUUUAUUGCUCUAAUAUUUAUAGGGACUGUAUCAGACAUUAUUGGCGUAAGGAUUGAUAGUAAGUAUAUUAUGGCGAUAAUAAUAUGGCUUUAUUUUCUGUCAGGAGGGUAUAUUCAAUGGUUUGUAUUAAGUAAGCGCAUUAUAAACAAAUAAAUUAAGUUAAUUGCUCUUAUUAUUAUAUGUAACCUGGGCAUUGAUAUCCCGUAUGCCACAGACCCGGCAGGUAACCGCCUGCCCGACCCGGAGCUGCACCCGGACAGCACCCUCAGCAUGUGGCCGGAUAACCGUAUUGCCCGUGACGCGCACUAUCUUUACCGGUAUGACCGUCACGGCAGGCUGACGGAGAAAACCGACCUCAUCCCGGAAGGGGUUAUCCGCACGGAUGAUGAGCGCACCCACCGGUACCAUUACGACAGUCAGCACCGGCUGGUGCACUACACGCGGACACAAUAUGCAGAGCCGCUGGUCGAAAGCCGCUAUCUUUACGACCCGCUGGGCCGCAGGGUGGCAAAACGGGUGUGGCGACGUGAACGGGACCUGACGGGCUGGAUGUCGCUGUCACGGAAACCGCAAGUGACCUGGUACGGCUGGGACGGCGACCGCCUGACCACGAUACAGAACGACAGAACCCGCAUCCAGACGAUUUAUCAGCCGGGGAGCUUCACGCCACUCAUCAGGGUUGAAACCGCCACC
rnacentral:rRNA from 1 species